rnacentral:rRNA from 1 species
UGGGGAAUAUUGCACAAUGGGCGCAAGCCUGAUGCAGCCAUGCCGCGUGUAUGAAGAAGGCCUUAGGGUUGUAAAGUACUUUCAGCGGGGAGGAAGGUGAUAAGGUUAAUACCCUUAUCAAUUGACGUUACCCGCAGAAGAAGCACCGGCUAACUCCGUGCCAGCAGCCGCGGUAAUACGGAGGGUGCAAGCGUUAAUCGGAAUUACUGGGCGUAAAGCGCACGCAGGCGGUCAAUUAAGUCAGAUGUGAAAGCCCCGAGCUUAACUUGGGAAUUGCAUCUGAAACUGGUUGGCUAGAGUCUUGUAGAGGGGGGUAGAAUUCCAUGUGUAGCGGUGAAAUGCGUAGAGAUGUGGAGGAAUACCGGUGGCGAAGGCGGCCCCCUGGGAAUGUACUGACGCUCAUGUGCGAAAGCGUGGGGAGCAAACAGG